CUGACUUGGGCGGUGUGUUGAGAGACCUCCACAUUGUGUUCCAUUGGUAUAGACUGACUUGGGCGGUGUGUUGACAGAGAGGCAUCCACAUUGUGUUCCAGUGGUAUAGACUGACUUGGGCGGUGUGUUGACAGAGUGGCAUCCACAUUGUGUUCCAGUGGUAUAGACUGACUUGGUGCGUGUGUGAAGAGGCAUCCACAUUGUGUUCCAGUGGUAUAGACUGACUUGGGCGGUGUGUUGAGAGACUCCACAUUGUGUUCCAGUGGUAUAGACUGACUUGGGCGGUGUGUUGACGGAGAGACAUCCACAUUGUGUUCCAGUGGUAUAGACUGACUUGGGCGGUGUGU